GAUGAACGCUGGCGGCGUGCCUAAUACAUGCAAGUCGAGCGAACUGAUUAGAAGCUUGCUUCUAUGACGUUAGCGGCGGACGGGUGAGUAACACGUGGGCAACCUGCCUGUAAGACUGGGAUAACUUCGGGAAACCGAAGCUAAUACCGGAUAGGGUCUUCUCCUUCAUGGGAGAUGAUUGAAAGAUGGUUUCGGCUAUCACUUACAGAUGGGCCCGCGGUGCAUUAGCUAGUUGGUGAGGUAACGGCUCACAAAGGCAACGAUGCAUAGCAGACCUGAGAGGGGGCUCGGCCACACUGGGACUGAGACACGGCCCAGACUCCUACGGGAGGCAGCAGUAGGGAAUCUUCCGCAAUGGACGGAAGUCUGACGGAGCAACGCCGCGUGAGUGAUGAAGGCUUUCGGGUCGUAAAACUCUGUUGUUAGGGAAGAACAAGUACGAGAGUAACUGCUCGUACCUUGACGGUACCUAACCAGAAAGCCACGGCUAACUACGUGCCAGCCGCCGCAGUAAUAC
rnacentral:rRNA from 1 species